rnacentral:rRNA from 1 species
AAGGAUCAUUACCGAACUGUCAACACGAGUUGUUGCUGGUCCUCAAACGGGGACAUGUGCACGGUCUGUUUACACAUCCACUCACACCUGUGCACCCUCCAUAGUUCUGCAGCCUGGGGGCUCUGUCUCCCUGGCGUGGGUCUAUGUAUUUACACACACACUGUAGUAAAGUCUCAUGGAAUGCAUACCGCGUUUAACGCAAUAUAAUACAACUUUCAGCAACGGAUCUCUUGGCUCUCGCAUCGAUGAAGAACGCAGCGAAAUGCGAUAAGUAAUGUGAAUUGCAGAAUUCAGUGAAUCAUCGAAUCUUUGAACGCACCUUGCGCCCUUUGGCUAUUCCGAAGGGCAUGCCUGUUUGAGUAUCAUGAACACCUCAACUCUCAUGGCUUUGCCAUGAUGAGCUUGGACUUUGGGGGUCUUGCUGGCCUGUGGGUCGGCUCCUCUCAAAUGAAUUAGCUUGCCAGUGUUUGGUGGCAUCACGGGUGUGAUAACUAUCUACGCUUGUGGUUUUCCACCAGGUAACCUUCAGUGAUGAAGGUUCGCUGGGGCUCAUAAACGUCUCUCCUCAGCGAGGA